AAGGUGGGGAUGACGUCAAAUCAGCACGGCCCUUACGUCCAGGGCUACACACGUGCUACAAUGGCCGGUACAAAGGGCAGCUACCUGGUGACAGGAUGCUAAUCUCAAAAAGCCGGUCUCAGUUCGGAUCGGAGUCUGCAACCCGACUCCGUGAAGCUGGAAUCGCUAGUAAUCGACGCAUCAGCCAUGGCGCGGUGAAUACGUUCCCGGGCCUU
rnacentral:rRNA from 1 species